GAUGAACGCUGGCGGCGUGCCUAAUACAUGCAAGUCGAGCGAACAGACGAGGAGCUUGCUCCUCUGACGUUAGCGGCGGACGGGUGAGUAACACGUGGAUAACCUACCUAUAAGACUGGGAUAACUUCGGGAAACCGGAGCUAAUACCGGAUAAUAUAUUGAACCGCAUGGUUCAAUAGUGAAAGACGGUUUUGCUGUCACUUAUAGAUGGAUCCGCGCCGCAUUAGCUAGUUGGUAAGGUAACGGCUUACCAAGGCAACGAUGCGUAGCCGACCUGAGAGGGUGAUCGGCCACACUGGAACUGAGACACGGUCCAGACGCCUACGGGAGGCAGCAGUAGGGAAUCUUCCGCAAUGGGCGAAAGCCUGACGGAGCAACGCCGCGUGAGUGAUGAAGGUCUUCGGAUCGUGAAACUCUGUUAUUAGGGAAGAACAAAUGUGUAAGUAACUAUGCACGUCUUGACGGUACCUAAUCAGAAAGCCACGGCUAACUACGUG
rnacentral:rRNA from 1 species